rnacentral:rRNA from 1 species
GACGAACGCUGGCGGCGUGCUUAACACAUGCAAGUCGAACGGAAAGGCCCUGCUUGCGGGGUACUCGAGUGGCGAACGGGCGAGUAACACGUGGGUGCUCUGCCCUGCACUUCGGGAUAAGCCUGGGAAACUGGGUCUAAUACCGGAUAGGAGCCAUUUUCAGCGUGAGGGUUGGAAAGUUUUUUCGGUGUUGGAUGAGCUCGCGGCCUAUCGGCUUGUUGGUGGGGUAAUGGCCUACAAAGGCGGCGAGGGGAAGCCGGCCUGGGAGGGUGGACGGCGACAUUGGGACGGAAGAACGGCCCAGAUUCCUAGGGGGGGCAGAAGGGGGGAAGUUUGCACAAGGGGCGCAGGCCUGGUGAAGAGAGGCCGCGGGGGGGAUGACGGCCUUGGGGUUGAAAACUCCUUUCACUAGGAACGAAGCUUUUUGUGACGGUACCUAGAGAAGAAGCACCGGCUAACUACGUG